rnacentral:rRNA from 1 species
GACGAACGCUGGCGGCGUGCUUAACACAUGCAAGUCGAGCGGUAAGGCCCUUUCGGGGGUACACGAGCGGCGAACGGGUGAGUAACACGUGGGUGACCUGCCCUUAGCUCUGGGAUAAGCCUGGGAAACUGGGUCUAAUACCGGAUAUGACUCCAUGACGCAUGUUGUGGGGUGGAAANCCUUGUGCGGCUAGGGAUGGGCCCGCGGCCUAUCAGCUUGUUGGUGGGGUGAUGGCCUACCAAGGCGACGACGGGUAGCCGGCCUGAGAGGGCGACCGGCCACACUGGGACUGAGACACGGCCCAGACUCCUACGGGAGGCAGCAGUGGGGAAUCUUGCGCAAUGGGCGAAAGCCUGACGCAGCGACGCCGCG